CUCACUUAUGCUACUAUAUAUCCGUGGGUAUCUAGCAAAUUGGAGAGCCUCCUCUACGUGGUCACGCAAGGCUGAUGAAGCCUUCACCAUCUGUAGCUGCACCUCCUCAAGCAUGAAGCUUCCUCAAUCAUUGUGGCAGAGAAACAUAACAAGAGAGUAAUGAGUAUGCUUCAACCCACCCCAAAAUGAUAUAUAUCAGUUCUUUCUGCAGUCCGUUGUCUGCAACUAAUACACAUCUCACUCUACCUAUAAUUGGUAGGUACCUGUGAGGAAGCAGAUGGAAUGUUUGAAUAUCACUAUUUUUGUGAGUCAUGCUUUAUCAAUUUUUUUUGAAUAAUGGAAUAUUACUGUUUAACCUUACAGAAAAUGUGAUAUGUGCUGGAAAUUGUUCUCUGCUUUGUAUGCAUGUAAUCUGAUAACUUCAUUGACAGUCUUAUGAGGAUGGCAUGACAUUAUUAUCUCUUUCUUUACAGAUGAUAAGCUGAAGUUUUAUGAUGACAAAUUACUUACUCAUUUUGAGGCCAAGCCACUUUAGUACACAAAACGAACUUGUAACUGUCACACAUGCUUGCAAUGAGAAAAGUGUAAUAAUUCUACUUGAGAAUGUGGGCUCAGAGGAAAAUGUGGAGAGGAAAGAAUGAAUCCAUCUCCUUUAUUGGGGGAAAAAAACACUUGAAGGCCAUAACUGUGGUGGUAAGGAAAGUAGGAAGAGACGCUGUAGGUGUUCUAAUGGGGGCAUCUCCUGAGAGCUCCAUGUCACUAUAAUUCACUCCAGUUCCCAUGCAUUAGCCUCUGAAAUCCAACAUGACUCCAGGUAACUUUGUUUUAGAGGGACCAGGCUUUGGCCCUAGCCUUUUUGGUCAUCGUUUAUUAAUCUGAAUGUUGAUAGUUGUUUUCACAUACAGGCCUUCUCUCGAUCUUAAGAUUUCCUGCAAGCCUGCAGCCACGGCCAAGGCAAUACUCCAAGGUAAAAAUUAUAUUGAAUGACUUUAAAAUGUUAACCCUUGCACUCACCAAGUUAUUUUAUAGGCAUUUCUUUAUUUGGAAAUAAGGCAUUUCCUUAUUUACAGAUAGAUUUAUGCAGAUUAUGUGGGAGAGGUAAUUUUAUUAUGUUUAUUUUACAUAUGAGCAAGGAAUUUAUCCCUCCAAGGACACAGAAAGAAUGCAGGGUAGAUUCAGGACUUGAACCCAUGUUAAUGUUCUUUCCUCCAUUGUUCUCUGCCUUAGAGGCCUUGGAACCUUUGACCACUAUUUGAGAGAGCUUCUCUAACAGUAUUUAUGCAUUAUUCCAUGGGUGAACUUUUUAUUUCAAACACAUUAUUCAGGAUUGACUGUCAUUUGUUUUCAAACAGCAAUGUAAGCUUCCAUAUUCAACG
rnacentral:lncRNA from 1 species